GACGAACGCUGGCGGCGUGCCUAAUACAUGCAAGUCGAACGCAGUGGGGACGGGUGAGUAACACGUGGGUAACCUCCCAUCAGAGGGGAUAACACUUGGAAACAGGUGCUAAACCGAUACUGAUUGAUGGACCCGCUGUGCAUUAGCUAGGUGGUGGGGUAACGGCUCACCAAGGAAACGAUGCAUAGCCGACCUGAGAAGGUGAUGGGCAACAGUGGGACUGAGACACGGCCCAGACUCCUAAGGGAGGCAGAAGUAGGGAAGCUUCGGCAAUGGACGAAAGUCUGACCUAGCAAAGACGCGUGAGUGAAGAAGGUUUUCGGAUCGUAAAACUCUGUUGUUAGAGAAGCGGUAUCUAACCAGAAAGCCACGGCUAACUACGUGCCAGCCGCCGCGGUAAUAC
rnacentral:rRNA from 1 species